UGUGUAAUAGCCCCUGGUUCAAGUCAAACGCAGUCACUUUAUGCUGCAGCAAAAACUGCACUAAGAAACUAUCUUUGCUUGUUUGUUUUUCUGGAGCCACACAUUUACAGCAAAGACGUCAACAUGUAUCAGACUUCAGGAGUUAAAGUCCACACCAUCACUUGUGGGGAGACGUUUGGUGUGAUGAAGAACUGCUGAGUAAAAUGAAGAGGAGGAUACAGCUGACCAUCACACACUGGAUAGAAAGUCUCUUCAUCAUCGUUUUCUGUCCCAUCACCUCUCGCGUUGGGUCAGAUGUGGAAGCGGCCAUGACCAAGGUUCCAGGAGAUCAAAAUGUCAUUCUGGUUCUGAUGCACCACACGCGAGAUGAGGGCUACUCCACAGCUGGAGUGAACUGGUCUGACAAAUAUCCCAACGUCAUCCUGGAUGUUCAUGUUCUCUUCCAUGAGAUGGUGCCAGGAUUGCUGGCGUGUGCUAAAAAUAUUGAGGCAGUUGAUCAACUGAUCUGUGAAUUAGAUCAACGGUUUCAGAACCAACAGAUCGAGGAGAUCAGACACAUGGAGCCGGGUCUCAUUGAAAGGCUUGAUAAAUGCUGUUUCCCUUAUUGGAAAAUUGUUCUUCCAUUUGUUCUGGUUGUGGUGCUAAUCUUACUUCUUGUCAUUUUGUUGUCGUAGUUUAGAGAUCAGCAAAUUCAAAAUAAAGAAAAGAUGUCCUGAUUAUUGUAUGCUCCAAUACAUAAAGUCAUCAUAAUUCAUUAGAUUAUAAACUUUAACAAUAAAAAUAUUGGGCAAAAAGAA